rnacentral:rRNA from 1 species
UACGCAGGCGGCUUGGUAAGACAGAUGUGAAAUCCCCGGGCUUAACCUGGGAACUGCAUUUGUGACUGCCAGGCCCGAGUCUGUCAGAGGGGGGUGGAAUUCCACGUGUAGCAGUGAAAUGCGUAGAGAUGUGGAGGAACACCGAUGGCGAAGGCAGCCCCCUGGGAUGAGACUGACGCUCAUGUACGAAAGCGUGGGAGCAAACAGGAUUAGAUACCCUGGUAGUCCACGCCCUAAACGAUGUCGACUAGUUGUCGGGAAUUUAUUUUCUCGGUAACGCAGCUAACGCGUGAAGUCGACCGCCUGGGGAUACGGUCGCAAGAUUAAA